rnacentral:rRNA from 1 species
UUGUAGUAAUACGAGAGUAUCCUAGUGGCGAACGGGUGAGUAACGCGUUGGUGACCUACCCCAAAGUGUGGGAUAACAGUCCGAAAGGAUUGCUAAUACCGCAUGUGGUCCUCAGCUUUAGAAACUGAUGACUAAAGGAGCAAUUCGCUUUGGGAGGGACCUGCGUCCCAUCAGCUAGUUGGUGAGGUAAUGGCUCACCAAGGCUACGACGCGUAGCCGGACUGAGAGGUUGGCCGGCCUCAUUGGGACUGAGACACUGCCCAGACUCCUACGGGGGGCUGCAGUAACGGAUCUUCCGCAAUGCACGAAAGUGUGACGGAGCGACGCCGCGUGUGGGACGAAGUCCUUCGGGAUGUAAACCACUGUCAGGGGUUACCAAGUUCUGAGGAGCCCCAGAGGAAGGCACGGCUAACUCUGUGCCAGCAGCCGCGGUAAGACAGAGGUGCCAAGCGUUAGGCGGAAUCACUGGGCUUAAAGCGUGUGUAGGCGGAAUUGUAAGUACCUUGUGAAAUCCCACGGCUCAACCGUGGAACUGCUCGGUAUACUGCUUUUCUUGAGCCACUUAGGGGCUGUCGGAACAAACGGUGGAGCGGUGAAAUGCGUAGAUAUCGUUUGGAACGCCAAAGGUGAAAACAGACAGCUGGGAGUGUGCUGACGCUGAGACACGAAAGCCAGGGGAGCGAACGGGAUUAGAUACCCCGGUAGUCCUGGCCCUAAACGGAUGUCGACUAGAUGCGUGGUGGCUCUGACGCCAUCACGGUCGAAGCAAAAUGCUAAGUGCCGCCUGAAAGUCGGUCGCAAGCUAACUCAAGAAUUGACGGGGCUCACCCAACGGUGGAGCAUGUGGUUCAAUUGGAACAACGCGCAGACCUUACCUGGGCUUGACAUGCCAAGGAUUAUCCCCAUGAAAGUGGGGUACGCCCUUCGGGGUGGAACUGGUACAGGUGCUGCAUGGCUGUCGUCAGCUCGUGUCGUGAGAUGUCGGGUUAAGUCCCUUAACGAGCGAAACCUUUGCCCUUAGUUACCAGCGGGUUAUGCCGGGGACUCUAAGGGGACUGCCGGUGUCAAACCGGAGGAAGGUGGAGAUGACGUCAAGUCCUCAUGGCCUUUAUGCCCAGGGCCACACACGUGCUACAAUGCGGCGCACAAAGCGAACCUAAAACGCGAGUUCAUGGAAAUCGCAGAAAUCGCCGCCCAGUUCAGAUUGGAGGCUGCAACUCGCCUCCAUGAAGUUGGAAUCGCUAGUAAUCGCGGAUCAGCUACGCCGCGGUGAAUGUGUUCCUGAGCCUUGUACACACCGCCCGUCAAGUCAUGGGAGCCGGGAAUAGCCGAAGUGGCCACAUCACA